GGAUGCCUUGGCUCUCGGAGGCGAUGAAGGACGUGAUAAGCUGCGAUAAGCUUCGGGAAGGUGCAAAUAACCUUUGAUCCGAAGAUUUCCGAAUGGGACAACCCGUCAUUCUGAAGGAAUGACAUCUUGCAUAGCAAGAGGCUAACGCAGGGAACUGAAACAUCUUAGUACCUGCAGGAAAAGAAAAUAAUAAUGAUUCCCCAAGUAGUGGCGAGCGAACGGGGAUUAGCCCAAACCAAUGUUGUUACGGCAAUAUUGGGGUUGUAGGACCACGAUGUCGCAAGAACUUUAGUGAGAAGAAUUCUUUGGAAAAUGAAACCAUAGACGGUGAUAGUCCGGUAUUCGAAGCUAAACGAAGCGUAGUGGUAUCCUGAGUAGCGCGGGACACGAGGAAUCUUGCGUGAAUCUGCCGGGACCAUCCGGUAAGGCUAAAUACUCCCGAGAGACCGAUAGCGAACCAGUACUGUGAAGGAAAGGUGAAAAGCACUUCGAAUAGAAGAGUGAAAUAGUCCCUGAAACCGUGCGCCUACAAGCGGUCGGAGCAGCGUAAGUUGUGACGGCGUGCCUUUUGCAUAAUGAACCUACGAGUUACUUUUUCCGGCAAGGUUAAGCAUUUCAAAAUGUGUAGCCGAAGCGAAAGCGAGUCUGAACAGGGCGAUUAGUCGGAAGGAGUAGACGCGAAACCAAGUGAUCUACCCUUGGUCAGGUUGAAGGUUAGGUAACACUAACUGGAGGACCGAACCGAUAAGCGUUGAAAAGCUUCCGGAUGAACUGAGGGUGGGGGUGAAAGGCUAAUCAAACUUGGAGAUAGCUCGUACUCCCCGAAAUGCAUUUAGGUGCAGCCUUGGGACUUACU
rnacentral:rRNA from 1 species